rnacentral:rRNA from 1 species
UGGGGAAUUUUGGACAAUGGGGGAAACCCUGAUCCAGCCAUCCCGCGUGUGCGAUGAAGGCCUUCGGGUUGUAAAGCACUUUUGGCAGGAAAGAAACGUCAUGGGUUAACACCCCGUCAAUCUGACGGUACCUGCAGAAUAAGCACCGGCUAACUACGUUCCAGCAGCCGCGGUAAUACGUAGGGUGCAAGCGUUAAUCGGAAUUACUGGGCGUAAUGCGUGCGCUGGCGGUUCGGAAAGAAAGAUGUGAAAAACCAGAGCACAACUUUGGAACUGCAUUUUUAACUACCGGGCUAGAGUGUGUCAGAGGGAAGUGGAAUUCCGGGUGUAGCAGUGAAAUGCGUAGAUAUGCGGAGGAACACCGAUGGAGAAAGCAGCCUCCUGGGAUAACACUGACGCUCAUGCACGAAAGCGUGGGGAGCAAACAGG